rnacentral:rRNA from 1 species
AUUGAACGCUGGCGGCAGGCCUAACACAUGCAAGUCGAGCGAGCGGCGGACGGGUGAGUAAUGUAUGGGGACUGCCCGAUAGAGGGGGAUAACUACUGGAAAAGGUGGCUAAUACCGCAUACUAUCGGAUAACCCAUAUGGGAUUAGCUAGUCGGUGGGGAAAAGGCUCACCAAGGCGAAGAUCUCUAGCUGGUCUGCGAGGAUGAUUAGCCACACUGUGGCUGGGAAACGGCCCAGGCUCCUACGGAGGCAGCAGUGGGGAAUAUUGCACAAUGGGGGCAAGCCUGAUGCAGCCAUGCCGCGUGUAUGAAGAAGGCCUUAGGGUUGUAAAGUACUUUCAGCGAGGAGGCGUUACCCGCAGAGGAAGCACCGGCUAACUCCGUGCCAGCAGCCGCGGUAAUAC